AUACCUUCUCGGCCUUUUGGCUAAGAUCAAGUGUAGUAUCUGUUCUUAUCAGUGUGAAAACUGAUAACGUCUCUACGGAGGCGCUAUUUUCACAUCAAUUUCUUAGGGGUGUGAGUUAGCUGGUGCGCUAGCGUACCACUCUCUCUUACGGAGUCGCCUUGGAUCACCACUUUCUCCGAUGGUGGCUCACCCGUA
rfam:Oxytricha trifallax strain JRB310 Contig12031.0 macronuclear, whole genome shotgun sequence.